ACAUACUUCCUACCUUACCCAGGGGGCUGUGGGUACAGUUUGAGGCUUUUGACAUUGUAAUUACUAGGUCUUGCUGUUUCGGGGGAGUGCCUUGUCCUACCUAUUCCAAAUAAGCAGCGCGUUCAACCACACUCCAAGCAAACGGUUCUGUUUUGGAUGUUCCAGGGAAAAGAGGAAUGUACUCCGGGCACUGUUUACCUCUCCUGCCGCACCAGGGUAAACUUCCUAGAGCAGCUAAGUCUCCGGUGAGGUUUGGCAGUUCCCGGUCACCAGCAGUGAGGAUCAAUGCUCCUCCUUUCUUCCCUGAGUCUGUGGCCCCUGCAUGCCUCUUCUGCCUGAUACCCACACACUGUCCCCCGGCAGUGUCCUGGUAUCUUCAGCGACAGGGAAACAGCAGGACUCUUGAGGGACCCUGGGUGCGGCUCCAGUAAUGACUCCAUUCUGUGGGAUUGUCUGGGGCUGAACCACUCCCCGAGGCUGCCUUUCAAAGCCCCAAGCGAGUACCCGAUCAUCUACCACUCAUCAGGAGACCAGGCCCUGGGUCACAAAUGCCUUUGAUCACACGGGGCGUUUUCAACUCCGCUGACCUUUUCUGACUUGGGUGACGGUGUUCUGGGGCUGCCAGAACAAACCCCACAAGCUGGGUGGCUUAACAACAGAACCCUGGGUUCUCACAGUCCCAGAGUCCUGAUCAAGACCCGGGGAGGGACGGCUCCGGAGGCUUGCAAGCAGGGCUAGGUCAGCACUUCCCGCCUGACUCCUCGCUGGGCUGUCCGCCCGUCCAGGGUGGCUCCUGUUUUGUCCACAUGCCAUUCCAAUCUUCGCCUCUGUUGCCCCACAGGCAUGUCCCCUGCUCAGGAAGACCUCAGUCACGUGGGACCAGGACUCUCCCUGACCUCCUCUUAACUUGCUUACAUCUGCGAAGACCCUCGUUCCAAAUAAAGCCACCCUCACAGGAAGGGGCAGUCCGGAGGUCGAUGCAGUUUGGAAUGCCGUCCAGAGCACAGCUCUGACCUAGCGAAGGAAGUGUGUCCCCGGCCCCAGGCACUGGGGAGUUCUCCGUGAGAACAAUGCCUCCAAAAGGCAGGGAAGGCCGGCCUGCAGCAAGCUUUGCGCAUCCUCAAGCGCAGAUAGAUAGGCUGAGCUUUGUGUGAAAUGUCAGUCCUGGUUUCCGUUUGCCUGGUCCUAGCCCUCGGGUGUUCAACUCCUAGGCUAGGAGUCUAUUUUUAGUUUAAUGAAUAAUGUAUCUGUUUUGAAAAUGACUAAUGAAAAAAAAUCAUCGGCUUUGGACUGAAUCAGAGCGUGAGUGUCUGGUCUCCGCCGCUAAUUUUCUGCACGUCCCUCCCUCUGCGUCGGCUACAAGGAAAAUGCCUACUUGACCUUCUUUUUCUUUUCUUUUUCUUUUUGUCACAGUGACCCCUUCUACAACGAGGUUGAGUCUGCACUCAGCCGCAGCUGGCAACAUGCGACACAUUAUGAAAUUAAACGCCUGCCACUCCUAAAUCUUACUUUCUUAGGUGUCCGUGAGCUGCGUACAUCUCCAUGUUUUUGAGUAUCAGCGGAGGUGGGGUGGGGUGGCCAGGGAGGAGGAUGUUUUCCUCUGGGCAGAGCCACAGAGGACAUUUACAAGACCCUCGUGUUAUCUCAGGCCCGAAGUCUGGUACGCAUUCUUGGGCUGCCUCGGGUGUCCUGAUCACAUCCACACUGACCUUAGAUUAGGGCCAGUUCCGCACACGUGAGUCAGCUACUUUCUAGCUACUGCGGCCAGAAAAUGACUGUUUGUUUUUUCAGGAGUGUCUUGUGAAAUCGUCUUGCUAAGUCUGAGAAACAGUGGCAUUUCAUUUUUCAGAAACAGUUCCUUUUUGGCAGUGUUAAUAAAAUGAUCCAUGUUUACCCAAA